ensembl:rRNA 5S_rRNA 5S ribosomal RNA
GCCUACAGCAAUACCACUCUGAGAGCGCUCGAUCUCGUCUGCUCUCGGAAUCUAAGCAGGGUCGGGUCCAGUUAUUACUUGGAUGGAAGACCUCCAGGGAAUAUUGGUUGAUGAAGGCU